rnacentral:rRNA from 1 species
UACGGAGGAUGCAAGCGUUAUCCGGAAUGAUUGGGCGUAAAGCGUCCGCAGGUGGCUAUGUAAGUCUGCUGUUAAAGAGUGAGGCUCAACCUCAUAAGAGCAGUGGAAACUACAUGGCUAGAGUGCGUUCGGGGCAGAGGGAAUUCCUGGUGUAGCGGUGAAAUGCGUAGAGAUCAGGAAGAACACCGGUGGCGAAAGCGCUCUGCUAGGCCGCAACUGACACUCAUGGACGAAAGCUAGGAGAGCGAAUGGG